UACGUAGGCAGCAAGCGUUGUUCGGAAUUACUGGGCGUAAAGAGUGUGUAGGCGGUGUUCUAAGUCUGUUGUGAAAUCUCCCGGCUUAACUGGGAGGGUGCGGCGGAAACUGGAAUGCUAGAGGAUGGGAGAGGUAAGCGGAAUUCCUGGUGUAGCGGUGAAAUGCGCAGAGUAUCAGGAGGAACACCGGUGGCGAAGGCGGGUCUCUGGGCCGAUACUGACGCUGAGGAGCGAAAGCGUGGGGAGCAAACAGG
rnacentral:rRNA from 1 species